rnacentral:rRNA from 1 species
GAAUGCUGACAUAAGUAACGAUAAAGCGGGUGAAAAGCCCGCUCGCCGGAAGACCAAGGGUUCCUGUCCAACGUUAAUCGGGGCAGGGUGAGUCGACCCCUAAGGCGAGGCCGAAAGGCGUAGUCGAUGGGAAACGGGUUAAUAUUCCCGUACUUGGUGUUACUGCGAAGGGGGGACGGAGAAGGCUAUGUUGGCCGGGCGACGGUUGUCCCGGUUUAAGCGUGUAGGUGUGUGUUCCAGGUAAAUCCGGUUCACUUUAACACUGAGGCGUGACGACGAGGCACUACGGUGCUGAAGCAACAAAUGCCCUGCUUCCAGGAAAAGCCUCUAAGCAUCAGGUAACAUCAAAUCGUACCCCAAACCGACACAGGUGGUCAGGUAGAGAAUACCAAGGCGCUUGAGAGAACUCGGGUGAAGGAACUAGGCAAAAUGGUGCCGUAACUUCGGGAGAAGGCACGCUGACACGUAGGUGAAGUGAUUUACUCAUGGAGCUGAAGUCAGUCGAAGAUACCAGCUGGCUGCAACUGUUUAUUAAAAACACAGCACUGUGCAAACACGAAAGUGGACGUAUACGGUGUGACGCCUGCCCGGUGCCGGAAGGUUAAUUGAUGGGGUCAGCGCAAGCGAAGCUCCUGAUCGAAGCCCCGGUAAACGGCGGCCGUAACUAUAACGGUCCUAAGGUAGCGAAAUUCCUUGUCGGGUAAGUUCCGACCUGCACGAAUGGCGUAAUGAUGGCCAGGCUGUCUCCACCCGAGACUCAGUGAAAUUGAACUCGCUGUGAAGAUGCAGUGUACCCGCGGCAAGACGGAAAGACCCCGUGAACCUUUACUAUAGCUUGACACUGAACAUUGAGCCUUGAUGUGUAGGAUAGGUGGGAGGCUUUGAAGUGUGGACGCCAGUCUGCAUGGAGCCGACCUUGAAAUACCACCCUUUAAUGUUUGAUGUUCUAACGUGGACCCGUUACCCGGGUUGCGGACAGUGUCUGGUGGGUAGUUUGACUGGGGCGGUCUCCUCCUAAAGAGUAACGGAGGAGCACGAAGGUUGGCUAAUCCUGGUCGGACAUCAGGAGGUUAGUGCAAUGGCAUAAGCCAGCUUGACUGCGAGCGUGACGGCGCGAGCAGGUGCGAAAGCAGGUCAUAGUGAUCCGGUGGUUCUGAAUGGAAGGGCCAUCGCUCAACGGAUAAAAGGU